rnacentral:rRNA from 1 species
UACGAAGGGGGCUAGCGUUGCUCGGAAUCACUGGGCGUAAAGGGUGCGUAGGCGGGUCUUUAAGUCAGGGGUGAAAUCCUGGAGCUCAACUCCAGAACUGCCUUUGAUACUGAAGAUCUUGAGUUCGGGAGAGGUGAGUGGAACUGCGAGUGUAGAGGUGAAAUUCGUAGAUAUUCGCAAGAACACCAGUGGCGAAGGCGGCUCACUGGCCCGACAUUGACGCUGAGGAGCGAAAGCUAGGGGAGCAAACGGG